rnacentral:lncRNA from 1 species
UUGCCAGCACGUAGACAGGGUUUGGCAGGAACCGCACACCACCAGCCUCACUGUACCUGGGCUCCUCCAGGAGAGGUGUACAGGAUCCAUGGGAUCACUUGGUCUUCCUAGGAUGGCUUUGUUAAAAGUGAAGCCAGCUGUGUUUUAUAGCACCUGGCUUGAAAACAAAAGUGCCUUUCGCUGCUUUAGGGUGUGUAGUGGGAAGCUCGUUUCCUUCUUUCCUGGGCACUCUUCUCCAGUCCUGCCAUGUCCACACCCCACAUGUCCCCUGCCCAUCCCCUUGUCUCCUGUGCCCAUUGUAUGCAGUGGGACACUCUGCAUGCUGGGCAGCCAUGAAGCCAGAGUCUAUAGGAGGUGUCCUGGCAGAGUUACAUAAAGCACUUUAAGUCAAGCCGGAGUGGUAGGUAAGUCCUCUGCACAGGAGCCUUGCCUUGGGUGAGUGAUUCACUGGGAUCAUUCAGGACAAAGGAGAAGUUUCCAGGACCCAGAGUGAUGAGGUGACAAAUACUAUUGGGUCUACCCCGGAGCUUAUCAUCUAUCCUCUAGCCUGCUUGAAGACUGUAGGAGGCUUGCUGGCUGAGGGAAGGGCAUGAGCUCAGGGUCCAAGCCACUGUUCUGCAUCCAAGCAAGCAGGUGGCACUGGCUUGUGAGGAGCUGAAGAGUGGUCUGUGCCCAUAACAGGACUCCCCUGCCACUGAGAAGAAAGCAUUGUCAAUUUACCUUCAGGUAUUUACUCUGUAAAAAAUAUGUGUAGAUGUUUUGUACAGAGCCCUGUAUGAAAAUAAACACCCUUAUGUGAUUCCUAA